rnacentral:rRNA from 1 species
UUUCGCAAUGCCCGAAAGGGUGACGAAGCGACGCCGCGUGUGGGAAGAAGGCUCUAGGGUUGUAAACCACUGUCAGGAGUUAAGAAAUGUAAAGGUGUUAAUAGCGCCUUUAUUUGACGAAGGCUCCAGAGGAAGCCACGGCUAACUCUGUGCCAGCAGCCGCGGUAAUACAGAGGUGGCAAGCGUUGUUCGGAAUUAUUGGGCGUAAAGAGCACGUAGGCGGUCCUGCAAGUCUGUUGUGAAAUCCUUCCGCUUAACGGGAGAACGGCAGCUGAUACUACAGGACUAGAGUACGGGAGGGGAGAGUGGAACUUCUGGUGGAGCGGUGAAAUGCGUAGAUAUCAGAAGGAACGCCGGCGGCGAGAGCGACUCUCUGGCCCGAAACUGACGCUGAGUGUGCGAAAGCUAGGGGAGCAAACGGGAUUAGAUACCCCGGUAGUCCUAGCCGUAAACGAUGGGCACUAAGUAGAGGGGUUUU